CCAAAGUUUUUUAUCGGAAAAAAAAUAGAAGGAAUGAAACAGAAAAACACACAGGCACACACACCCUAUUCUGCAUAAUCUGAUUUAAACACUUUUGAUUCUCUUUGGUUCUUUUCGGAGGCCAAAUCUGUGCAUUUUUACAGUUUUGAAAUACCUUGGACUGUUCUGUUGUUUUGUCCUGCCUUGUCUUGUUUGUGUAGUGCUAGUGACUUUGCCUUAUUAUACUAAUGAAGAGAAGAAUUUUCUGGUGUGCAUGUGCACAUUGAUGAGCUAUCAGAUUUAUAUCAUGUGAAAUCCAAGAAGUCGUAGAGAUAGUUUACAGAAAUAUGAGCUGUAGUUAUAAAACAAGACUUGGCGUACAAGUAGUGGAUUCUUAAGACAAUUGAAGAUACCUGGAAUCUUUUCCAUCACAAAUUCACUGCUCUUUGGGAUGAGCACAGACAUGGUGCGGGUGAGGCAUAUCUUCCAGCUAUAUAUAACAAUCCUAAGGUUCAGCUGCUUGUACAGAAGAAAUACAUGACAAAUUUGUUUCAUGAUAGUCUUGGGUUUGGUGCUGUCAAAAUGAUAAGUUUAGUCCCUACAAUGUUCUGAAAGAAGGCAUAUACACUUAUUGGGCUCCAGAGGAGUAUUAAUCAAGGUGGAUAUUGUACAUAGAUCUUCAAGAACUAGUAUCUUUUAAUGUUCUGCAACUACAAGAGCCUAUUCAAAUGGGACAAAGAGUGAGUGAAUUUCACCUCGAGGCAUUGCAACAAGAUGGUGUAUGGAAGAGAGUUACAAAUGGCACCACAAUUGGAUAUCAGAGGCACAAUUGGAUAUCAGAGGCUUUUGCUGUUUCCAAAAGUAAAAUCUCAGCAUUUGAUGCUUGUUAUUAACAAGUCUAGAGCUGAUCCACUGAUAUCAUACUUGGGGAUCUACAUAGAUCCAGUUACCAUUUGGAGCAGCAUAUAUGAUGAUACAGUAUUAACAAGCCAUUUCAAUGCCAUUCAAGUUAUUCAUAUUAUCACACAAGACAACUCUCAUACUGGUACUUCAACAGCUACAAUGUAAACUUACUCAGUUAUUUUUCUUGUAGUUGUAUGUUACACAGAAAUAGAAGAAAAUUUUUUGCUCAUUUAUGUAUGUGUGAAUUGGUAUCUAUUUUUC